UUUUAUGAUUUUGUUUUCUUCAUGUGUCGCGAGAAUGGUCAAAAGAAUAUUUCUGUAAGCAGGGCAGUAACUGCUUGGAAAUUAGUUCUUGCUGGGAAUGAACAAGGGAAUGAAUACUGAUACAAUUGUUAAGGCCAAGAGUUUUCUUGAUGGUGAUGAAGAUCAGCAUGAAAAAGAUGUGUUUGAGAAGAAUUUGAAAGCGUUUCAGAAUAUUUUUUAGUCAUUAUGCCAAGAUUAGAAGAUUAACGAUUUUCUGUUUGUUAAAUUCUUUUCGGAUAUAGAGUGCAAACUUUGCAUUUUAAUUG